AACCCAUGGUGAGGGUACAUUCUCAACAGAUCCUUGUAUCUCUCCCAUGCAUCGUAGAGUGUUUCUUAAUCCAUCUGCAUAAAAAAGGAGAUAUCAUUACGUAAUUU
rfam:Gossypium arboreum cultivar AKA8401 contig_50059_3, whole genome shotgun sequence.